rnacentral:tRNA from 1 species
GCGCCUGUAGCUCAGGGGAUAGAGCAUCCGCCUUCUAAGCGGGAGGUCACAGGUUCAAAUCCUGUCAGGCGCA